rnacentral:rRNA from 1 species
AUUGAACGCUGGCGGCAGGCCUAACACAUGCAAGUCGAGCGAGCGGCGGACGGGUGAGUAAUGUAUGGGGACUGCCCGAUAGAGGGGGAUAACUAAUGGAAACGGUAACUAAUACCGCAUACUAUCGGAUAACCCAUAUGGGAUUAGUUGGUAGGUGAGGUAAUGGCACAACUAGGCGACGAGCCCUAGCUGGUCUGAGAGGAUUAUCAGCCAACCUGGGACUGAGACACGGCCCAGACUCCUACGGAGGCAGCAGUGGGGAAUAUUGCACAAUGGGCGCAAGCCUGAUGCAGCCAUGCCGCGUGUAUGAAGAAGGCCCUAGGGUUGUAAAGUACUUUCAGUCGGGAGGCGUUACCGACAGAAGAAGCACCGGCUAACUCCGUGCCAGCCGCCGCGGUAAUAC